rnacentral:rRNA from 1 species
GACGUAGGGCGCGAGCGUUGUCCGGAUUUAUUGGGCGUAAAGAGCUCGUAGGCGGCUCAUUGCGUCAACCGUGAAAACCAGCAGCUCAACUGUUGGCUUGCGGUUGAUACGGGUGGGCUGGAGUUCGGUAGGGGAGACUGGAAUUCCUGGUGUAGCGGUGAAAUGCGCAGAUAUCAGGAAGAACACCCGUGGCGAAGGCGGCUCUCUGGAACGCAACUGACGCUGAGACGCGAAAGCGUGGGGAGCAAACAGG